AAAAAAAAAAAAGACGAUAAUGCAAAACGAACAAUUCAGCAAAUUUCAUAUUAUUCUUCAAACGCAUAAAGAAAAAAAGUGUGGAAACUAAAGUGGGACAGACAGACGGACGGACGGACAGACGGACGCAGAGGAAACCUCCGGUGAAAACCGGUAGGGGACUAAUAAAAGGAAUGGUACAAAGAAUAUAAGCCAAACUAUCAAGAGACCAGUACAUCCAUACAUCAAGAUGGAAGUGUCUCCAACACAGACAGCUUAUUAUUGAUGGCACCAAUGAAUGUCAACAAAUUUUAAAUGCUGAAGUGCUGAAGGAGGUUCAUUAGGUUUAAGUGCAUUAACUACAAGAUAAGCGUAAUUUAACAUUGGAAACCCUUCAUCAACAAAGAGUUUUGAACCACCACUGGUAGCUGCAGUUAUCGGCAACAUCUCAACCCUCCAAAGAUCCAGAACCUGAUUUAGCAGUCCAGAAAAUUCUUCAACAAGAGAAAAAAGUUUCAGGAUUAUUUCUUCAUUAUACUAAUCUAAAGCAUUCUACAUUUGUUACAUUGUUAGAGUUUCUGACAUCUCAACAGUUGCCAGAAUUUACAAAGAAGAGGAAAGAAGUUAAGAAGAUGAACCUGGAAACACAGCUCUUGGUAACACAAAUGCGGCUCAGACAUAACUUUAGUUUAAAAGAUUUAGCUGCACGUUUUUGUAUUUCUACCCAAUCUGUCAGUGAGAUAUUUAAUGCAUGGAUUGAUCACAUUUAUAUGAUGUUGGGUGCAAUACCGAUAUGGCCUCAUCCUACAUCAACUUAUGGUUGCUGGCUACAUUCAUCAGGGUGACUGUAUCAUGGCAGAUAAAGGGUUUACCAUAUCAUCAGAAUUGGAAGUUACAUUAAACUUGCCAACCUUUGUGAAAAGUGGAACACAAAUGUGUCAAUCGGAUGCUGACAUCACUCAAAAAAUUGCAGCUCAUCGCAUGCAUGUGGAACGUGCAAUUCGUAAAAUAAGAACUUUUUAAAUGAUUUCACAUUGUAUUCCGACCAGUAUAUUUGGAUCGAUCAACAAAGUAUGGACAGUGUGUGCCUUGCUCACUCU